rnacentral:lncRNA from 1 species
UUAGUUACACAUAGUACUUAAAUAAAACCCAAUAAUACUUGAUAAAUAUUCCAUAAUCAAUAAAGAUAAUGAAAGAAAUAAACAAGAUUAAGAGUUUAGAAAUAAGAACUAGUGAUAAAUUGCUUGGAUGGCUUCCUUGAAACUUUGCACAACUCUUGAAUACUUAACUUCUAAAAACAAACUAUAUACAAAGCUAUAAAAUGAGAUAAAGAGUAUGGAGUGUAGUGUAAUAUGUGGGACGGGAUCUCUACAAUGCAUCCUUCCUCUCUUUAUAUAGACUUCUUGGGAGAGAACUUCUACAUUGUUUAGGGAAUAAAUUCCACCUUGUUUAUGGAAUAAAGUUCUCAAUCAAGCCUUAAAUUUCUCUCAAUCAUGUCUUCCAUGUGCAUAAAUUAAGGCUUGAUUUGUAUGUGAAGAAAGUUGUCCAAGAUUAGCUCUUGAAAUUGGUGAAAAUUGGUUGGCAACUUUUGACUUAGUUUA